rnacentral:rRNA from 1 species
GAUGAACGCUGGCGGCGUGCCUAAUACAUGCAAGUCGAGCGAACAGAUGAGGAGCUUGCUCCUCUGACGUUAGCGGCGGACGGGUGAGUAACACGUGGAUAACCUACCUAUAAGACUGGGAUAACUUCGGGAAACCGGAGCUAAUACCGGAUAAUAUAUUGAACCGCAUGGUUCAAUAGUGAAAGACGGUUUUGCUGUCACUUAUAGAUGGAUCCGCGCUGCAUUAGCUAGUUGGUAAGGUAACGGCUUACCAAGGCAACGAUGCGUAGCCGACCUGAGAGGGUGAUCGGCCACACUGGAACUGAGACACGGUCCAGACUCCUACGGGAGGCAGCAGUAGGGAAUCUUCCGCAAUGGGCGAAAGCCUGACGGAGCAACGCCGCGUGAGUGAUGAAGGUCUUCGGAUCGUAAAACUCUGUUAUUAGGGAAGAACAAAUGUGUAAGUAACUGUGCACGUCUUGACGGUACCUAAUCAGAAAGCCACGGCUAACUACGUG